AACACCUAUUUCAUCUGGAAUACUGUAUAUACUCUCACUCAUAGAUAUUCAGGAAAGAUUCAUUAAAACCAGAACUUAACCAGAAAAAGGUGAUUGGUCUGAUUAGGAAAAUAGGAAAUUGAAAAUUUACUCAUUUCAAGAAGUUAAAGGAUGAUUGUUAGUUAAAGGUUAUUGGCCCAAACAACCAACCAUUGAAGUCCAUGGUUUUUCUCUAAAAGCACAAGAAGGAGGUAAAUUCAGGAGAUUUUUAAGGUCUGUUUUAGUGAUGCAGACUGUGUUGAUACAGGAGCUGGCAGUUACCUCAUCCAAACUGGAAUAAAAAGAAGAUUGAUAACUGCCAGGGGAUUGAGUUCCCAGAGCACUCUUCCAGUUGCAGUAGUGUAGGUGAAAAUUAAAUCAACCCCAAAUCUUUAGAUAAGGCCUAAUAUUUUAAGGAAAGGGAUUGUAUGCUAUAGUUGCUUUCAGUGGCACAAAACUGUCAUGAAUGACCCAGGAAGUCUUUGCAGUCGUUUUGUAAGAUAAGGUGGCAACAACAAAGUCACGGUGAAACUAAACUUUUUACUUGCAAGGAGGUGAAGCGGUAAUAACCCAUUUGAGUGGGUUCACCUAUAUUCAGGAUAAUACAUUGAGGCUAUAAAAGGAAAAUUACUAAACUCACUGGUGUAUACGCAUGAAUUGUGCUAAUGGACCUGGAUAGAGAAUAAUUAGGAAGCAGUGAGUAAAAUUUCGCAGCUCUGACUGCUGCAAUUACCUCGACAAUUUCAGGAAGGUGCCAACACUAGCGAAGUGUGGAUCAGUGCACUUUUCCAUCCGUUGUCAAUCACAACCUUGAGCAGGUUCUCCAGAAAAAGGGAGGUAAUGGGGUGUAGGGAGGGCAGUGUCGUGAGGUACUGGAAAUGUUACUGCAACCUAAAGAAAGAAGAUCUUACAUCCCCAUGUCCUGCACAACCUUACCCUCCGCUGUCAAAACAUUUAAAUACAAAAACAUUUAUAUUAUGCCCAUCUGUUACCUUCCUUCCUUUUGCUCUUGUAAAGAAUUCAAGUUUUGAAAAUUCGUAUAUAAUAUUUCCUGCCUGAAUUUAUGGAGAAACACUGCACCAAACCAAAUUCUGCUUUGCACUUAAUCUUAAAAAACUGCUACGGUGCUUUAGCACAGAAAAACUACACUUCUUAACAAAGAUUUUUUUUUUCCAAGAAGUUCUUUUGCAUCUUUGUAGGACAAUUAAUUUUUCAUAAGUGAUUAUAGGGGUGAAAGAGCGGUAUGGUAUUACAUAUUAACUGGAGAGUAGAUGGAGUCAACCAAAAAUUCAUUGAACUGGAAUGGUGAAAAAAAUUACAGGGUGAAUAUUAAUCAUGUGAGUAAUAGUGAGCAUGUGAAUUAAGAGCUAUUGAAGUCAAACAUGGAGUUGUGAAUGUCUCGGCUGUUGGGCUGGAGCCUGGCUCCUCCAUGAGCUUACACAACUGUGUUAGGCUGAGAUGUAGUGAAGGUCAAGCUCUUCUUCCAUGCCACUAUGGUAGUGAACAAACCAGCCCAGGACACAGUGGUGAUAGAGACAUGUUAACUAUUUCCUACUAAUUUCCUCAGGUGUAGGAGGAGGUUUGAGGCACCUUCGGUCGUAUUCAUUUGCAACACGUAGCCCUGUAGUUCAGUGUGAGCAUUGAAGAAGUCGGCUCCUACUUUUCAUUGCAGAACCAGUGCUUCUUUGGAAGGUUGUGUGUGUAGAUACAGUGCAGGCCAGCUGAAAAUCUCACUUUUAUCGAACUCACUUUUCUACAAAGAACAACAAAGAACUGAGGACUUGAAUGAAAACUUUUUCCCAGAUCACUUACUAAGGGUUCAACUUCUCUAUCACUAUCUUACCUGCCUUUUCCAUCCUUCUCUUUUUUUCAGAUGAGUACCUGGCUACGUUUUGUUCUCAGGAACCUCCUUCCUCCCUCUGGAGCUGACCUCUGGAUGCUCCCUGGUUUCACAGAUGAGCUCGGUCUGAGGGGUUUAUUCACAGAGAAUCAGGAGACAGUCUUCAAAAUGACCAGUGAACUGAAGAAGCUGGGCUGGGAGCAUCUGUAUCUUCCCAUUUGAAAACCUCGCCUGUUGCUUGCUCCUACCGAAACCUGGAAAUGCCGAUGAGGUGUGGCUCUCCCAUCCCUGGCAAAGUGGCUGAUGCGGCCUUCAGUUGGGAAAAUAUGGGUGCUGUCGCAUGACGAACGAGGCUUCCCCUGGGAGGGAAGUCACCUUCUUCCUCUCCAGCACAGCACCAGGGGUGUGACAAUUCCCUAACGCACAACGGAACCGCACAGAAAUCUGGCAGCUUUAUCCAGUUUGUAGUUAUAAGGAUCUGCUUCAUAAAAACAUCUGAAUCACGUUUCACACUACUUAGAGAGCUACAUAAACACAACCUGAUCCUCUUCCGAGGAUCUCAGCCUUAUAUCUGGAGACCAUGCCUCCUUUUUCUUUUUUUUUUUAUCGAGGGUCUUUUGACCUGUACUCCUUGCAUAAUUAUUGGGGCUUGCAUGAAUGCUGCUGGGUUCAGAUUCCUCUCAGAAGUGGCACUGUUGCUCUUUCUUCGCUUUUAAACACAGACACCCAAAGUUUCUUUGGCUGUGAUGCAUCAGGCAACUCAUUCUUCAUGCAGGAUGGGAGGGACACCACACAAAAAUCCUGCAGCCGUGCCUGUGGUGGGUGAGACAGCCCCUACGCCUCCUUGUCCUCUUUUUGCCUUUCCACCACUCUGCCUUCCUGGAUCCACUCUCUUUUGCCAGCAGAAGACUGCCUGGUGGGCUCUGGAGGAAGCCUGGGGUGAGGGGAGCAGAAGAC